AGGGACAUGGCUCAAGUGGUAGAGCACCUGUCUAGCAAAUACAAAGUUCUGAGUUCAAAUCCUAGUGCUCCCC
rnacentral:tRNA from 1 species